AUGACAGGAAAUAGCAAGGUACUGCUCCCAGACCACAAUAAAAUGGAUGUGAUGGGUGGAAAGAGACGUAGAAAACACAGUUUUAAGAAGAUUAGUAGAAUAUUUAUGUAUCAUGGCAUCAGUUUUAAAACAUUUUCUAGGGAGCCAAAUCAAAGACUCAUUUACCCUCUUCUUUUUGCUCAGAAUUUAGUUACAGUGGAAGAAUUUACUUCUCUGCCUAAAGGCUCCAGGACUUUUCACAGGCUGGUGACAAGGUUUUCACCUGAAAACAACCACAGCAAAACUCAUCAUCAGUUUUUAUUUCCUACCAAAUAUCAGAGGUACAGCACUGAACACAAUUGUGUUACCUUCAGAUGCUUCUCCGCACUGCCUGCAAUGUCCUUCUUCCAACUGCCAGCUCCUCUGUAACCAGCACUUCUUUCCAGGGAAUCGGAGUCAGGGUGGUACCCUGCUCACUGCGUCCACAGGAGGCUGUGUCCCUGUCACCCACUGCCUUGUCCCCCGCGAGGCUGAACUCCCUGGGAGCGGGCCUGGCACACACGUCUUCUGAUAAAACACCCGUCAUCUGAACGUCUCUGAUUCGCCAUCCUGUCCUGUUUCUCCUCUUCUGCCACAUCGACUGACUGGGAUGUGUAUGCGGCUUGUGGAUGUAAAACUCCACAGAGGGCAAGAUGCCUGUGCUCCACAAGGGGUGGGCUAAGAACCAUGGAGCAGAUUUGUGGCUUGUGAUCCUGUUAUAGGAUGGAUCACAUGUGCGUCGUAGAUACAUCAACUGGUGAUUUCAAGCGAGCUACAGGGACUUCCCUGAUGGUCCAGUGGGUAAAGAAUCAGCUUCUCAAUGCAGGGGACACGUGUUCAAUGCCUGGACCGGAAAGAUCCCACAUGCCUCGGAACUAAGCCUAACCACCACAACUACUGAUCCAGCACACCUGGAGUCUGGGAGCUGCAACUAGCGAGUCCAGAGGCCGCAACAACAGAACCCGAGUGAUGCAGUGAAGUCCCCCACUUGCUCCGACUAAGACCUGAUGCAGCCAAAUAAAUAAAUAAGAAAAUUUUUAAAAAUGUAUAUA
ensembl:lncRNA